rnacentral:rRNA from 1 species
GAUGAACGCUGGCGGCGUGCCUAAUACAUGCAAGUCGAGCGAACAGAUGAGGAGCUUGCUCCUCUGACGUUAGCGGCGGACGGGUGAGUAACACGUGGAUAACCUACCUAUAAGACUGGGAUAACUACGGGAAACCGGAGCUAAUACCGGAUAAUAUAUUGAACCGCAUGGUUCAAUAGUGAAAGACGGUUUUGCUGUCACUUAUAGAUGGAUCCGCGCCGCAUUAGCUAGUUGGUAAGGUAAUGGCUUACCAAGGCAACGAUGCGUAGCCGACCUGAGAGGGUGGUCGGCCACACUGGAACGGUGACACGGUCGGGACGCCUACGGGAGGCAGCAGUAGGGAGUCUUCCGCAAUGGGCGAAAGCCUGACAGAGCAACGCCGCGGGAGUGAUGAAGGUCUUCGGAUCGUAAAACUCUGUUAUUAGGGAAGAACAAAAGUGUAAGUAACUAUGCACGUCUUAACGGUACCUAAUCAGAAAGCCACGGCUAACUAC